rnacentral:rRNA from 1 species
GACGAACGCUGGCGGCGUGCCUAAUACAUGCAAGUCGAGCGCAGGAAAUCGACGGAACCCUUCGGGGGGAAGUCGAUGGAAUGAGCGGCGGACGGGUGAGUAACACGUAAAGAACCUGCCCUCAGGUCUGGGAUAACCACGGGAAAUCGGGGCUAAUACCGGAUGGGUCAUCGGACCGCAUGGUCCGAGGAUGAAAGGCGCUUCGGCGUCGCCUGGGGAUGGCUUUGCGGUGCAUUAGCUAGUUGGUGGGGUAAUGGCCCACCAAGGCGACGGUGAAUAGCCGACCUGAUAGGGUGAUCGGCCACACUGGGACUGAGACCCGGCCCAGACUCCGACGGGAGGCAGCAGGAGGGAAUCUUCCACAAUGGCCGAAAGUCUGAUGGAGCAACGCCGCGUGAACGAUGAAGGCCUUCGGGUCGUAAAGUUCUGUUGUAAGGGAAGAACAAGUGCCGCAGGCAAUGGCGGCACCUUGACGGUACCUUGCGAGAAAGCCACGGCUAACUACGUGCCAGCCGCCGCCGUAA